ensembl:lncRNA
GUCAAAAAGGCAUCAAAGAUAUUUAUGAAAUACUGGUAUCCAGAACAAAAUGAAUGGAAGUGGAGAAGGGAGAGUAGGAAAAGGAGAGCAGUGGAAAAUUCAAACAGUUUUGAUUUUCUAGGCAGCUCAUUCAAUUUGUGAAACGUCAGUGUCACAAGCAAACAGCCAUCAUUUCAGCUUUCAGUGUAAACACAAUGGAAUUGUGUCUUCCAUUCACAAAGAACUGCACUCUAAUUAGAAAUAAAUAUUCCUACAUCCUUACAAAUAUUGUUCACCCUAAAAAUCUUUUUCUCACUGGAAUACUUACUAUUGGGUGCCAGUUGCAUAAAGCUGAGUAUCCCAAACUUCAAAUUAAAUUUAGCAGAACAGAGUAAUACACUAACAGUUAUCAUCUUCUGGAGUAUUUAACUUACUUGGCAUUCCCUUUAUCAGUACACUGAACACCUCUUGUCCUCUUCUCCCUUGUGGAGAAGAGAAGGCUCUGGGGAGACCUCAUUGUGGCCUCCCAAUAUUUGAAGGGAGCGUACAAACAAGAGGAGUUAUGACUGUUUACGAGGGUGGAUGGUGAUAGGACAAAGGGGUAUGGUUUUAAACUGAGACAGGGGAGGUUUAGGUUAGGUAUUAGGAGGAAGUUUUUCACACAGAGGGUGGUGACACACUGGAACAGGUUGCCCAAGGAGGUUGUGGAUGCCCCAUCCCUGGAGGCAUUCAAGGCCAGGCUGGAUGUAGCUCUGGGCAGCCUGGUCUGGUGGUUGGUGACCCUGCACAUAGCAGGGGGGUUGAAACUCAGUGAUCAUUGUGGUCCUUUUCAACCCAGGCCAUUCUAUGAUUCUAUGAUCAUUCUAUAAUCUGGCAUUCCUUCAAACACUCGCAAGCCCUAGGAAAUAAAGCCAAAAGAAAAAGAACUUACUUACAAAAUCCGAGAGGUAAACACAUGGCCACACCAUUGAGUUAUACCUCUGUUUGUAACAGGUCUUUGGGCUGGAGAUCCGGUGUGUCAGCUGUUGUAGUGGCCAUAGAAGAAAAGAAGAGGAAUAGCGGCGAUGUUCAGGAUUGGGAGCUUCUUGCUCUGAGCAUCUUCAUCCUAACAGUUUUUUGUGAAAAAUGCUCAGGGAAAUGAAGGAGUGGGCAUCUCACUGCAGCUUCUCUCUUUGUUUGGGUUUCUUCCUGCUUCAGAUUCUUCACAGGGCAAACUUCACAGAGCCUUUGGGAGCUUAUGGGAUGCAGAGUGGGUGAGUGCCUGAGGGAGCUGCCAGCGGCACCGAUUAGCAGAGAGCAGUGGUCACUUUCCUUCCCUGAACCUUCUUAAAAAUAAAUACUUCCAAAAAUAGAUACAUUUAAUGUAAUGAAGCACAGAUUUAUUUGUGG